rnacentral:rRNA from 1 species
AUUGAACGCUGGCGGCAUGCCUUACACAUGCAAGUCGAACGGCAGCACGGGUGCUUGCACCUGGUGGCGAGUGGCGAACGGGUGAGUAAUAUAUCGGAACAUACCCUAGAGUGGGGGAUAACGUAGCGAAAGUUACGCUAAUACCGCAUACGAACUAAGGUUGAAAGUGGGGGAUCGCAAGACCUCAUGCUCAUGGAGUGGCCGAUAUCUGAUUAGCUAGUUGGUGAGGUAAAGGCUCACCAAGGCGACGAUCAGUAGCUGGUUUGAGAGAACGACCAGCCACACUGGAACUGAGACACGGUCCAGACUCCUACGGGAGGCAGCAGUGGGGAAUUUUGGACAAUGGGGGCAACCCUGAUCCAGCAAUGCAGCGUGAGUGAAGAAGGCCCUCGGGUUGUAAAGCUCUUUUGUCAGGGAAGAAACGGUCUACUCUAAUACAGUGGGCUAAUGACGGUACCUGAAGAAUAAGCACCGGCUAACUACGUGCCAGCCGCCGCAGUAAAAC